GACGAACGCUGGCGGCGUGCUUAACACAUGCAAGUCGAACGGAAAGGCCCUGCGUUUGUGGGGUGCUCGAGUGGCGAACGGGUGAGUAACACGCGAGUAACCUGCCCCUGACUUUGGGAUAACUUCAGGAAACUGGGGCUAAUACCGGAUAGGAGCUCCUGCUGCACGGUGGGGGUUGGAAAGAUUCGGCGGUUGGGGAUGGACUAGCGGCUUAUCAGCUUGUUGGUGGGGUAGUGGCUUACCAAGGCUUUGACGGGUAGCCGGCCUGAGAGGGUGACCGGCCACAUUGGGCCUGAGAUACGGCCCAGACUCCUACGGGAGGCAGCAGUGGGGAGUAUUGCGCAGUGGGCGGAAGCCUGAUGCAGCAACGCCGCGUGCGGGAUGACGGCCUUCGGGUUGUAAACCGCUUUCGCCUGUGACGAAGCGUGAGUGACGGUAAUGGGUAAAGAAGCACCGGCUAACUACGUG
rnacentral:rRNA from 1 species